AGACUCCAUGUCUAAGUCAUAGAGUCUGUUUUAAGGUUAUGAAAAUUGUAAUUUUCGUUUAUUGGAUCGAUCAUGCAGGAGAUUAUCGUUUGGUGAUUGCGAUGAUCUUCUUUUUAUUGUUUCUGAGUUGUGUACGAGUAUUGUAGUAUAUUUUGUCACGAAAUCGCCAAAGGGGGAGAUUGUUAAGGAUUUUAUAGGUUGGCGAAUUUCGUAAUGUUGAAUGGAGUCUUGAAGAGUUGAUCACGGAAGUUUUUGAAGAAAAGAUUCAAAUUGAAGAACAAAGAUUCAUUCAUAAAGUUCUGCACAUAAGGUAUGAAGAAAAGAUCAUUUGUGGUGAAGAUACUUAAUUAGAAUAAGUU
rnacentral:lncRNA from 1 species